rnacentral:rRNA from 1 species
AUUGAACGCUGGCGGCAGGCCUAACACAUGCAAGUCGAGCGGAUGAAGGGAGCUUGCUCCUGGAUUCAGCGGCGGACGGGUGAGUAAUGCCUAGGAAUCUGCCUGGUAGUGGGGGAUAACGUCCGGAAACGGGCGCUAAUACCGCAUACGUCCUGAGGGAGAAAGUGGGGGAUCUUCGGACCUCACGCUAUCAGAUGAGCCUAGGUCGGAUUAGCUAGUUGGUGGGGUAAAGGCCUACCAAGGCGACGAUCCGUAACUGGUCUGAGAGGAUGAUCAGUCACACUGGAACUGAGACACGGUCCAGACUCCUACGGGAGGCAGCAGUGGGGAAUAUUGGACAAUGGGCGAAAGCCUGAUCCAGCCAUGCCGCGUGUGUGAAGAAGGUCUUCGGAUUGUAAAGCACUUUAAGUUGGGAGGAAGGGCAGUAAGUUAAUACCUUGCUGUUUUGACGUUACAAACAGAAUAAGCACCGGCUAACCUCGUG